rnacentral:rRNA from 1 species
AUUGAACGCUGGCGGCGUGCCUAAUACAUGCAAGUCGAGCGAAGCGGCGGAUGGGUGAGUAACGCGUGGGUAACCUGCCCUUAAGUCUGGGAUACCAUUUGGAAACAGAUGCUAAUACCGGAUACUAAAGGAUGGACCUGCGAUGCAUUAGCUAGUUGGUAAGGUAACGGCUUACAAAGGCGAUGAUGCAUAGCCGGGUUGAGAGGCGGAUCAGACACAGUGGGACUGAGACACGGCCCAAACUCCUACGGGAGGCAGCAGUAGGGAAUCUUGCACAAUGGACGAAAGUCUGAUGGAGCAACGCCGCGUGAGUGAAGAAGGUUUUCGGAUCGUAAAGCUCUGUUGUUGGUGAAGCGGUAAUCAACCAGAAAGUCACGGCUAACUACGUGCCAGCCGCCGCGGUAAUUC